UACGUAGGGUGCAAGCGUUGUCCGGAAUUAUUGGGCGUAAAGAGCUCGUAGGUGGUCUAUCACGUCGGAUGUGAAACCCUGAGGCUCAACCUCAGGCCUGCAUUCGAUACGGGCAGACUAGAGUGUGGUAGGGGAGACUGGAAUUCCUGGUGUAGCGGUGAAAUGUGCAGAUAUCAGGAGGAAUACCGAUGGCGAAGGCAGCCCCCUGGGUCGAUACUGACGCUCAUGCACGAAAGCGUGGGGAGCAAACAGG
rnacentral:rRNA from 1 species